CUCAAUACAGCACGAGCGAUCAUAAGUCGCGUAGGCUAACUCCGAAGUACCGGCUUGUAGGGAGCGACCCUCACAAGCAUGUGCGAAUGAGCACAAAUGGCAAGCAAGCAUAGUGAUCGUCUCAAGAACCCGAUCAUCAUGUCUCUAACAUGGUAAUAGUCACUAGCAACCCAACGGUUUAGUUCUAUGUCUCAAUGUGAGGUUCCAACAUUCAUUAAGUCUAAUGCCUCUUUAUGACAUUAGAACAUUGCUAUAACCAAGCAUAUUUCAAAUUCAAGGCCCCUUUAUGGCAUUAUUUUACUAAGUUCACACAUUACUCAAGCUCAAU
rnacentral:lncRNA from 1 species